UACGGAGAGUGCAACCGUUGUUCGGAUUCACUGGGCGUAAAGGGCACGUAGGCGGCUCGGCAAAUCGGUCGUGGAAUCUCGACGCUUACCGUCGAAACGGCGGCCGAAAAUACCGGGCUCGAGGGCGUGAGGGGUCACUGGAACUCCUGGUGAAGCGGUGAAAUGCGUAGAUAUCAGGAGGAACGCCGGAGGCGAAAGCGAGUGACUGGCGCGUUCCUGACGCUGAGGUGCGAAAGCUAGGGGAGCAAACAGG
rnacentral:rRNA from 1 species